rnacentral:lncRNA from 1 species
GAUCCAUGGAUGUAGUGGGGAGUGGAAAAUGGCACAAUAUCAAGUGUGAGAAAGGAGAUAAACUUCGACUCUUCUGCCUUCAACUGAGAACAGUUGACCGCAAGCUGAAACUGGUGUGUGGAAGUCACAGCUUCAUCAAGGUCAUCAAGGCCAAGAAAAACAAGGAAGGACCAAUGAAUGUUAAUUGAAAUAUGAAAGCUGAAAUGCAACAAACAACUUCCGCUUAAAACAAUUAAGUUGUUAAUAACUGUGAUUUUGUAAAUUUCAGUAAUUCAUUUAAAUGAUGUUUCAGUAGAUAUAUUCUAGCAUAUUAAGAGCUUUUAUAACUGAGUUAUAGAUUAGUUUGCUUUCUGGAAUAAAAUUUUCUUCUUAU